GAUGAACGCUGGCGGCGUGCCUAAUACAUGCAAGUCGAGCGAACAGAUGAGAAGCUUGCUUCUCUGAUGUUAGCGGCGGACGGGUGAGUAACACGUGGGUAACCUACCUAUAAGACUGGGAUAACUCCGGGAAACCGGGGCUAAUACCGGAUAAUAUUUUGAACCGCAUGGUUCAAUAGUGAAAGACGGUUUCGGCUGUCACUUAUAGAUGGACCCGCGCCGUAUUAGCUAGUUGGUAAGGUAACGGCUUACCAAGGCGACGAUACGUAGCCGACCUGAGAGGGUGAUCGGCCACACUGGAACUGAGACACGGUCCAGACUCCUACGGGAGGCAGCAGUAGGGAAUCUUCCGCAAUGGGCGAAAGCCUGACGGAGCAACGCCGCGUGAGUGAUGAAGGUCUUCGGAUCGUAAAACUCUGUUGUUAGGGAAGAACAAAUUUGUUAGUAACUGAACAAGUCUUGACGGUACCUAACCAGAAAGCCACGGCUAACUACGUGCCAGCAGCCGCGGUAAUACGUAGGUGGCAAGCGUUAUCCGGAAUUAUUGGGCGUAAAGCGCGCGUAGGCGGUUUCUUAAGUCUGAUGUGAAAGCCCACGGCUCAACCGUGGAGGGUCAUUGGAAACUGGGAAACUUGAGUGCAGAAGAGGAGAGUGGAAUUCCAUGUGUAGCGGUGAAAUGCGCAGAGAUAUGGAAGAACACCAGUGGCGAAGGCGGCUCUCUGGUCUGUAACUGACGCUGAUGUGCGAAAGCGUGGGGAUCAAACAGGAUUAGAUACCCUGGUAGUCCACGCCGUAAACGAUGAGUGCUAAGUGUUAGGGGGUUUCCGCCCCUUAGUGCUGCAGCUAACGCAUUAAGCACUCCGCCUGGGGAGUACGACCGCAAGGUUGAAACUCAAAGGAAUUGACGGGGACCCGCACAAGCGGUGGAGCAUGUGGUUUAAUUCGAAGCAACGCGAAGAACCUUACCAAAUCUUGACAUCCUUUGACCGCUCUAGAGAUAGAGUCUUCCCCUUCGGGGGACAAAGUGACAGGUGGUGCAUGGUUGUCGUCAGCUCGUGUCGUGAGAUGUUGGGUUAAGUCCCGCAACGAGCGCAACCCUUAAGCUUAGUUGCCAUCAUUAAGUUGGGCACUCUAGGUUGACUGCCGGUGACAAACCGGAGGAAGGUGGGGAUGACGUCAAAUCAUCAUGCCCCUUAUGAUUUGGGCUACACACGUGCUACAAUGGAUAAUACAAAGGGCAACGAAUCCGCGAGGCCAAGCAAAUCCCAUAAAAUUAUUCUCAGUUCGGAUUGUAGUCUGCAACUCGACUACAUGAAGCUGGAAUCGCUAGUAAUCGUAGAUCAGCAUGCUACGGUGAAUACGUUCCCGGGUCU
rnacentral:rRNA from 1 species